CCUACAAAUACAAUAACAUGAUUUGUACAUUGAACACGACAAGAUUAAGGAAAAGAUAAGCGUAACAAAAUCUACUAGAAGUUGUGUCCACUCUAGUAAUUGCUAUGACAUAGAAUGCUAGACGGAACGGACCAGGAAUGAGCAGACCAAUUUUUUUCCUUUCUUCACUUCAAUGGUUCCUCUCUCUCUCUCUCUCAGAAGAUCACUUUAGCAUCAGAAAAGGAAAAGUUACAACCCUUCUUUUUCUUUGUCCAAAGUAAGAGAUGCGACUAUUUCAAUGUUCAUGCCUGUAAUAUAUCAUCUACACUUGAGCUUAAAGGCUGCUAAAUAUUUGAAAAAAAAAAAAAAAGAAGCAUAACGACGGGAAAACUAACGGUGUGGUAAGCUUGUCAUGAGUCUUCACUAUAUCGCUAGUUAGUUUACUAAGCCCCAUGAUGAAUUGAAUUCUUGUUUAUCAUUUAUGAUAUUGUACAAUCUUAGUACUCUUCAACUGGUCAAUAUUUCACUGCUUGAUCGAAUAUUUCUAUGAACUGUCAUUUCUGAGUUGCCUGCUCAACAAUAUAAGUCGAACACAUUGUAGGCUUGGCAGUGAUCAUUUGCAACAAAGUUAUUCCAAAAGAAUAAAUAUCCGAUUUUGUACUUCGCCAACUUCAUACUCUUACAGAAUUGGUCACUUCCUAACGCACCAGUCUAUCUAAGUGCUGUUUCAAUCCCAAGCCUCAUUAGUGGCGUUAAAAUGGAUGGAUACGUUCGUGAAAAGUCCUUAGCAUAGGUCAGCAUUGUCAUUUUAUUACUUUAUCAAAUACUCCGUCCAAGCCGUGAAGUGAGUUGAUUCCUCCGCUCACAAUGCUCAAGUUGUAGCUGAAGAUCUACCUUCUUCUCUUCCUUUUAAUAGUUCGAAAUUCCAGGGGGAAGGGAAGAGUAGCCACCAAAGCUUGAUUCUCGCGACUGAACUUGCAACCUAUGUAUUCGUAAUGGUUCUUAAUGCCACAGGUGUCAUUCUAAGAUCCUCGGCUAUAUCCGAUGGGUGGGAUUUGAAAUCAUCCACAAACAUAGUAAAGCACCAACACUAAACUUAUGAGCAGCUUCUUUUUCUCGUCUGGAAUUCUUGAAUCAUUUGGAGUAGCAAAAAGUGAAGAUAAUUUCUGGGAUACGAUACUCGAAAAUUUAUGGUGCUUCCCAGAUAAAGCGCCAUCCAUAGAAUGUUUAUCCUUGAACUUAAUGAGAUGAGUGACAUGAAAUUAUGCCCGCCAACUUCCUCUCUUCUGUGUCGUCCUACGAGGUGGAAAGGCAAGAAAAUAAGGAAAUAGCAUUAAAGCAAAACGAUGAGUUCAAACAAAAUAUUGUUAAUUCACGAAUAAAUUAUAAAACGGUCGAUUCUCUCUAUUAUCGAUUUGUAAAUAAGUAUGCAGCAUGAUCAACAUUUCCAUUUUCCAGCUACAGUAAUGGCUUCUGACUACUUACAGGUGUAAGACGCAUGAUCAAAUUUCAUAAAAUUAUGAUUUUUCUAAUCAAAUAGAUCUUUCUGGUAUUAACCAACUCCACAUUUGAAGUCAAAAGUUGAUUACUCGGAUUUAAUCGUCUAAAAAAUCCAAAUCUAUUAGGCUGGAGCCCCCAGGAAAUUG
rnacentral:lncRNA from 1 species